rnacentral:rRNA from 1 species
AGCACGUUAUGGUGGGCACGUCUAAGGAGGACUGCCGGUGGACAAACCGGAGGAAGGUGGGGAGUGACGUCAAGUCAUCAUGGCCCUUACGGCCUGGGCUACACACGUGCUACAAUGGUCGGUACAAAGGGUUGCCAAGCCGCGAGGUGGAGCUAAUCCCAUAAAACCGAUCGUAGUCCGGAUCGCAGUCUGCAACUCGACUGCGUGAAGUCGGAAUCGCUAGUAAUCGUGAAUCAGAAUGUCACGGUGAAUACGUUCCCGGGCCUU